GGCUGAUUAGCUCAGUUGGUUAGAGUGUGGUGCUGACAACACCAAGCUCGCGGGUUCGAUCCCUGUUCGGUCC
rnacentral:tRNA from 1 species